rnacentral:lncRNA from 1 species
CCUGGAUGGCAGCUUGGGAAACUGAUUUAAAUUAAACCAGCUUAGCAAAUAUAGCCCAAACACUUUGCUUUUGCUGAGAUUAGCUUCCCAACUCUGGUCUGCUGUGUUGCCUCCUGUUUGUGCUGGUCUCAUCGUGGGGUGAGCAGCUGGACAGGGUCAGACUGUGCAUUCAGGAUCAGUAUGGCCUUAUACUGCCCACAAGGAGGAAGCCAAACUCAAAAGACAUCAACAACAACAAAAAACCUGAGCAGUGAACCUAGAAUGUGUUAGAUCAAUGCAGACACCAUGAAAAAUAACCAGGACAUGCCUUUGUGGCUUUUGAUGUAGCUAUGUCUGUGGCUGAAACUAACAGAUGCAAAAGCUAACUGCCAGAUAUCCAAUGUGUGUGCC